ensembl:lncRNA
UUUUUUUUUUUUUUUUAAAACAAAGGUAGAAACUUGGACUGUCAGAGCUUUUAGGGUGGAGUCAAGUAUUUACAGUCACCAUGGGCAACCCUAAAAGUGCUCUCCUGACCCCAGGAAAGCAGAGCGAGCCAACAGGGUCAGGCUUAAGAAAUGACCCGAAUUUCCCCAUGAGCCUUCUCUGCCCAAUGUUUUGAAGUCUGAAGCAUCAGACUGUGACAAUCCACACUUUUUAAAAAAGAUUUUUAAAAAUUAUAGUUGAUUUACAGUGUUGUGCCAGUUUCUGCUGUACAGCACAGUGACCCAGUCAUGCACACGUAUCUAUGCAUUCUUUUUCUCAUGUUAUCUUCCAUCAUGGUCUGUCCCAAGAGACAGGAUAGAGUUCCCCGUGCUAUACACAGCAGGAACUCAGUGCACCCACUCCAAAUGGAGCAGUUUGCAUCUACCAAGCCCUGGCUGGGGCUGAGGGGUGGCUGGCUUGACAUCCUCGGGGCAGGCUCCCACCUGGGGAGCUUCCUAGGUACAGGACAGAGUCGCCUCGGGGGAGGUGCCACUGUGAGAAGGGACUGGUGGUCUUGAUCACAGAGAGAAAGCAUUCCUGGUUAGUCCUUUAAAAUACCUCUUUCGGCAUUUGAUGGUGGUCUAGAAAGUGCAGAAGAAAAAGUUGUAGCCCUUUGGGAGUGACUUAAAUUACAUGAGAAGUAGCCAAGCCUUGCGUGCACCUACUGUCACUUGUUCUUUUGCUGUCUUUGUGCUGCCACCUAGAGAGAAAGGAAAACAGAUGUUGUCUCCUGGGGAGGACAGUCCCAGGGACCGCACGCACCUUCCAGAACAGAAAAGCAAGGCUGCCUUAGUCCUGAGGUCUAAGGCAGCUGUGCAUUUUUGCUUUGAAGAGAAGCCCUCAGGCACAGGAAGAGGAUUCUGUUGGUGACCUCACUCUAGGGCUGACGUUAGGUUCCCAGACAGAGGGUGGGAGAGAGGGGGGUUCUCCUUCCAGGGUUCAAAGGGUGGGAAAUACAGAAUAAAGUUAGGUUGCCCAAACUCAUGGAAUGGACACCUUCAGUUUAGAAAAAAAAAAUGAAAAUACAAGACACACAUGAAAAAAAUGGUUCUAGGAUGAGUAAUUCUUUUUUUUCCUCUUUCUAUGACCGCACCUGUGGCAUAUGGAAGUUCCCAGCUAGAAUCAGAGCUGCAGCCACGUGGGAUCCAAGCUGCAUCUGCAACCUACACCACAGCUCACGGCAACGCUGGAUCCUUAACCCACGGAGAGAGGCCAGGGAUCGAACCCAAGUCCUCAUGGAUGCUAGUCGGGGUCGCUCACCACUGAGCCAUCAUUCAUCUUGGAGGUCUUGGACGGGAACUCCAAGAUGAANNNNNNNNNNNNNNNNNNNNNNNNNNCCAGUGUGUAAGAAACCAGAGACUUGCGGGUGGAAGUGGUAGUUCUUAACACCCCCACGGAGUUAGUGUUCUCCUGAGUGCUGGGUUCUUGCUGAGGACAAUUUCAAAUGUAAUUUUUUCCGGAGCUGUAAGUUAUCAAAAAUGAUAUUGAUGGAUAUCAAAUUUUGAUGCCAUGAUGCGGAUGAGCUGUGACAGAGGUCUGCAGGUCCCUGCUGGUACAGCGGGUUAGGUACCUGGUGUUGUCACUGCUGUGGUUCAGUCCCUGGCCUGGGAGCUUCCUCAUGCUGCAGGUAUGGCCAAAAAAAGACAAACAAACAAACAAAAAAACCGAAACAACAGAGGUUAGACCUUCCCCGACCAGCCACUUGCCAGGACUCUGUCUUCCUUCCUGUGGCUUCUUCCACAGCCCCCAACAAUACUUGACAACCCAUCUAUCUGCCUCCUAGAGCAGAAACUUCUCGAAGGCAGGUUCUUUUGUCCACCAUGUGGACAGCUGCACUUCUAAUGCCUAGACCAACAUCUGGCACACAGCAGGUACUCCGUAUAUGUUCUUAAAAGAAUCAGGGAAUCUAAGCUUAUUCUUUGGCUUUUUUCUUUUGAAAGAACUAAUAACUUGGAGUUCCUGUCGUGGUUCAGUGGAAACAAAUCUGACAAGUAUCUAUGAGGAUGCAGGUUCGAUCAGACAUUGACAUGAGAGCUGUGGUGGGUUAGGGAUCUGGCAUUGACAUGAGCUGUGGUGUAGGUCGCAGAGGCAGCUCAGAUCUGGCAAGGCUGAGGCCGUGGCGUAGGCCAGCAGCUACAGCUCUGAUUUUUUUUUUUUGGUCUUUUUGCUAUUUCUUGGGCCGCUCCCGCGGCAUAUGGAGGUUCCCAGGCUAGGGGUCGAAUCGGAGCUGUAGCUACCGGCCGACGCCAGAGCCACAGCAACGUGGGAUCCGAGCCGCGUCUGCAACCUACACCACAGCUCAUGGCAACACCGGAUCAUUAACCCACUGAGCAAGGGGCAGGGACCGAACCCGCAACCUCAUGGUUCCUAGUCGGAUUCGUCAACCACUGUGCCACAACGGGAACUCCCCUACAGCUCUGAUUUGACCCCUAGCCUGGGAACUUCCAUAUGCCAUAGGCGGGUGCGGCCCUAAAAAGACAAAAACAAAAAACAAAAAAAACAAAAAACCAACAAAAAACUAAUACCUUGACUAAUCUAAUUCUACACAUUGUGAUUAAAACACAUGUGUAAGGUAACAAUUCUUUUAACAUCCUCAAGGAUUCUUCUGUAAAUCACAUUUGGGGCUUCCCUCCUGCCCCAUCUCAAAUCGGCUUGAUUAGUGUGGGACCCUCAAAAUACCAUUUACUAAUGAAAGUACUGUUAAAAAAAAAAAAAAAGAGCUGACAGCUGAAUUAAAGACUUGACAUGCAAAUGCACCAGCUAAGUAGAUGCAGAAGCUUUCCUGGAAUUCUGGCUGAGGAUAAAUUGACCUGCAGAAUUCAUUAGGAAAAGAGCAAGAAGAUGAAGCAGAAUCACUCUGACUUUCCCAGUCUUUCCAUUAAAAGACUGUUGAAGGAUAAAUGGCCAUAGAGCUAUGCACACAAUGAUAAGGAUAAAAACCUCAGGGAGGCAAAGAGCAGAGAGGGCUGGGCUUCAGGGUGGAGCGGCAGCGGGCGCUCGGCCACUGAGUCUGGGUGACCUCACUCUGACCAUCUGCAAAACAGGGCCACGGCCCUUUCCCGUCUACCUUAGAGGAUUGUUGUAAAGAUGGAUUUAACGACUGAUACGGGAUUGCUGUACGAACUGUAAAGCGUUACUACACGUCAGGCACUUUUCGUCCAUCUGGUGACCCUGAGGAGUCUAUAAACUGGAGAAGUGUAUAAAUCUUUGUGUUAAAAGGUGUAUGAAUCUAGGAGUUUCCGCUGUGGCUCAGUGGUUAGCGAACCUGACCAGCAUCCAUGAGAACACGGGUUUGAUCCCUGGCCUUGCUCAGCAGGUUAGGGAUCCGGCGUUGCCGUGAGCUGUGGUGUAGGUCACAGACGCUGCUUGGAUCUGGCGUGGCUGUGGCUGUGGCUGUGGCUGUGGCGCAGGCUGGUGGCUACAGCUCUGAUUGGAUCCCUUGCCUGGGAACCUCCACAUGCUGCGGGUGUGGCCCCAAAAAGAUUAAAAAAAAAAAAAAGGAGUAUGAGUCUAAUCAUUUCUUCCUUAUUCAUCGAGGCCGAAGCCUGUGGACAUCUUCCAAGGACACUAAGAAAAGAAAAGAGCCUUUCACUUGCCUUUCUGACCAGAGCUCCUUGUCCUCCACCAAGAGGUUGAACUGUAUAACUCAGCUAACUCUGGAGAUCUCCAAAUUUUGGAUUAGUCUUGGAGAAAGGGCUGUUUGGGGAAAAAUAUGUGAUACAGGCAGCUAGUCAAGUUAGAUCAACUUUAAGAAUAGAGAAAGUCAGAGUUCCCUGGUGGCCUAGCGGUUGAGGACCUGGUAUUCUCACUGCUGUGGCAUGGGUUUGACCCUUGGCCUGGGAACUUCUGCCUGCCAUGGGUGUAGGAAGAACCCAUGGCACAAAGAAAGAACAGAGAAAGUCAGUCCUAACCUAUGUGAAGAGGCUAAGGGGUGACUUAAAUCUGCCGAGGGGUGACUUUCUAGGAUGUAACAAAAGUCACAGUUCGGGGCUCUGGGAAAAGGGAAUUAGUUUGGUGCGGAGAGUCUGGAAGUCAGCAGUCCUGAGUUUAGGUUCUGGCUUGCUUAGUUAUUUAUUAGCUGUGUGACCUUGGGCAAAUAAGAUGACCUUACAUUUUUUCAACUGUAAAAUGGGAGCGAUAGUACCAAUUAUGCCACAUGGAUUCUGCAAGGAUUUUCAACACAGGAAUGCAUGUGAAAAUUGCUUAAAAUUGCAAAGCACUUUGUCAGUCUUUGUAAUUGUUUUCCAGGAAUUGUGUGCUUUGCAUUUCUUUCCAUGCCAAGGUCAAUGUAAUCUAUGGAAAAAGAAGAAAAGACACAAAUAUGUACCAGGAACACAAUAGCCAGUGCUGGUGUAUUUCCUUCCUAGUGAAGCAGAUGAGAGAAUCCACUUACGGACUGAGGAAGGCCUGAGACACGGUCGCCCUGGACAGACGCUAAUCUGAGAGCAAACCUCUCGACUGUGACACCGGAGGUCGGCUCCCGGGGAGCAGCGACCCCAGGGCAGGACAUAAAUGACCCGACCCAGUGACCUCAUCUCCCAUGGAAGCCAGGACGCCAGGCCAGCCAUGCCAGUGCUUUGUCCAUGGGUCAGAGGUAGGGCGGGAUUGGGAUCACGACCAGGUCUAAAUCCAGCUCCUUGAAAUGAACUGGACUUUUUCGACCAAAUUCAUUUACCCUUUUUCCCCUUCAUUUUUGACCACCACAUGGCAUGUGGCGUUCCCAGGCCAGGGAUCAGAUCCAAGCUGCUGUUAAGCCACAGCUGCAGCAACACCGAAUCCCUAACCCACGGUGCCGGGCCGGCAUCACACUUGUUCCCAAGAUGCUGCUGAUCUCAACACAGCGGGAACCCCUAUUUCGCUUUUUAAAAGUGAACUUUCUAGUUCAGUUUGAAAUCUGGCUGGUCAUUUUUCACUUCAUUCGCAAUUUUAAGGAUUACAUCAUCUGCUUACUGGCACUGAUGUAGGUUUGCAUGCAUAUUUAGGUAGUAAAUGAAUACCCUGUAUAUUGAGGUAGUAAAUGAGUGCAUCUGAGCAUCUCCCUGCCCAAGUGCCUUUGUGUCUGGCUAAGGCUCCGCGUGAGAAACGACGACAGCGCUAAACCAGACCCCGGCCAGUGGAACACAGCUCCUCUCCCAUCCACGUUAAACCCGAUGGAAGGGAAUCUCCUCGGGCGGUGGAACCAGAGAAGCUCCUGGAAGAUGGGAGAGCCUGAGAGUCUGAGUACAAGGAAAAUGUAGGUCAGAGACAAACCAGACACCAAAAAGGAAGGAAUGAUGCUGGUCGGAGAUGAGUUUCAGAAAUACGUGAGGUUUGACGAAAAUGACGGAGGCUCUUGUGUGUGUUCGCAAGUGAUUCUGGAGCCUGCAGAAACUUCUGGAAGCUUUCUCUAAACUCAGGACAUUAAUCAAAAAGAUAAAUGAUGUGAGCAAGAGUGGGCCACAGGAGGUGAGUAAGGUCCAGUGCGCCAAUGUUUGGUGUAUAAAGUCUAAAAAGGCUCUCGUCUGAAAUUCUUCAAGGAAUUUGAAAGAAGGAUAGGAUGUAUAUGUGUAUAUGUGUAUGCGUGUGUGAAUAUGUAUAUACGUUUGUGGGUACUUAUGUGUAAAUGCGCACGUGUCUGUAUGUCAGUGUGUGUGUGUAUAUACACACACACAUAUAUAUAUAUAUAUAUACAGUGUGUGUGUCCCUGUAAGCCCAUAUUGAUUUGUUCCUCAUAUUAUUCCCCAAAAGAACACUUGGAAUGCGUGACAUGUUUAUAUAUUUGUUUGUUUGUCUUUUUAGGGCUGCACCUGCCGCAUAUGGACAUUCCCAGGCUGGGGGUCAAGUCAGAGCUGCAGCUGCAUCUUCGACCUACACCACAGCUCAUUGCAACGCUGGAUCCUCAACCCACUGAGCAAGGCCAGGGAUCCAGUCCGAGGCCUCAUGGAUCCUAGUUAGGUUCCUUACCACUGAGCCACCAUGGGAACUCCGAGAGACACCUUUAGUUUCAUUCUUCCAUCACUGUUCAACUCCUAGUUCACAGCUCACAUUGCAAGUAACGUUAGGAACGUCAUCUUGACGUCAAAGGUAAAGUCAAGCAUGGAAGACAGGGGCUCCUAGCGGCUCAGUGGGUUGGGGGUCCGGCAUUGUCUCGGUUGUGGCUCUGGUUUACUGCGGUGGCAAGGGUGCGAUCCCUAUAGCCCGGGAAACCAUGGGAGAUUAUAAAAGUGACGACUUCCCAGAUGCCCAUUUAAUCUCUAGCUAAGUCACGUGAGCGCCUGUUUAAAGUUCCUGGAAUCUAAUGUACAGCACAGUGACUGGAGUUAAUAAAACUGUAUCGUAUACUUGAGAUUUGCUGAGAUCAGACCUUUCGUGCUCCUGUCUCACACACACACACACACACACACACACACAGCAAAUAUGGGAGGUGAUAACUGUGUUCGUUAGCUUGGUUGUAAUAAUCAUUUCACACUGCAGAUGCAUGUCAAAACAUCGCACUGUAUAACCUAAAUAUACAUACAUCUUUAUUUGUCAGUUAUACCUAAUAAAGCUGGAAAAAAUAUAAACUUCUGGGACGGCGAGGCGUUUACAUAGACCACAUAUUAUCCUCAAACUUCAAUAAUUUAGGUCGUGGGCUUGAUAUAAAUAAUUUCUAAAUGCGACGUAAAAGCAAAUUUACUAACCUCACCACAGGUGCAAACAACGUCCUCUAACUUCAGAUGUUCUGACCCAGCUAAAGUGACUACGGUGAACGCAGUUGAAUCAACCAACAGAAGGAAAUUCACAGCGCUUUAUCCGCAGAGGUUGAAGAUUACAUCUGUUUCUUUCUAUUAAGCCCAUACAAGGAGGUCACGAAUGAGUGUAUGAAAAUGUCUUUGGACGGCAAAUUCAAGAGCACCCAGGCAACCCACUGGGAGUGAACCCUGAAUUUCAAAGUUCAGCUGCAAGCUGCCAAGGGCCCCAGUGUGCUUCUGCGUGUGGAACACUGAGGCGUCCCGUGCAGAUGGACUGACGGAUCGUUGUCGCAUGCCCUGAUAGAAGGCCCACUUUGCGCAGCCCCAUGUUAGGUGCUGUGGGCCUCGUGGUGACCCAGUCAGGCCAGGGUCUGUGAAGAGGGUGCAGCAGGAAGAUGGGAUGGACAGUGACCGAUUGCGGGGGGGUUGGAGGUAGGUGAGGAAGGUCAGGACGUGCCUCUCUAAAAAAAUGACAUUCAAGAUAAGACUUAAACUACAACAUGAUGGGACUAAUCAUGUGAAGCUCUGGAGGAAGUGGAUAAAAGACACACCAGUCACACAAAGGCACCGAUGUGGGGACAGCAUGGCAUACUCAGGGACCCAAAAGAAGGUCAGAGAAUAGCUUAGACAUUUGGAAAGACCAAGGGGGAUUAAGAUCCUGACCUUGACCCGUGGGGGGAAAAAAGUCAAGUCUCAGCUAAUGAGGACACUAGUUAGAUGAUUUAUUCAUCUACCAGGUACCAGCAUUUACCAACUGCAUACUCUGCCCAGCAGUGAACAAGACACGAACUUGAACAGUGCAUUGUUCCUGCUGUUAAGGGGCUAAGCUUCAGGAGGGGUGAUAAUUCGUUUCAAUAGCCUUUCUCUCUUCCCUUGCCCGUGGGGUUGGGUGGGGUUGGGUGUCCCUAUUCUGGCUCCUACGGCCUCCUGCCCUACAUCCACAGCUGUUGUGGGGAUUAAUGAGUUAUAUGUAAAAUGCUCAGAAUAGUGUCAAGCGCAUAAAUCCUAUACUGUGUGGGUUGCUAUUAGUAUUACUGUUAUUAGUAUUAAGAAAUGAUCACAUGAGGAACAGGACAGCACAAUUUCAAGGUAUCUCAAACAACGUUAGGCAUUUGACAAAAUAACUGGCCAUUACUCUCAAAGUGUCAAGGUCAUCAGAAUACUAAGAAAGACUGAGAGACAAAUUAGAAAAAAGAAAAGCGAUAUGCAAAAUAAAUGCAACGUGGAAGGAUGAAUUGGAUCCUGGAAUAGAAAAACAUUAGUGUAAAAAUAGAUGAAGUUCAAAAUGUGGUCAAUUGGUUAAUAAUAUUGUAUUAAUUGUAAAUUUCCUGGUUUUGAUAAUUGUACUGCUUAUGUACAGUUAGCGGGGUGAAGGGUAAACUCAACUCUUUACUGUUUCACAACUUUUCUGUAACUUUAAGAUUAUUUCAAAAUAUAAAAGUAAAGACAAAAUAAAAGACAGAAAUAGGCACAGAAAUGUCAGAGAUGUUGGAACCAGAAGACAAGAACGUUUUAACUACAGUGAAUUACCGAAGGAAGGCACAAUGAGGAGACAAUGGGAAGAGAUAAAAAGAACCAAAUGGAACAUCUAGGACUGAAAAUUCCAGUAUAUAAAAUAAAAGCUCACUAACUGCAAAACAGAAUGAAACUACAAGAAGAAGCAAAUUGAAAACAAAGAGAAAUUCAGUGACAGGACCUGUGGGACAUCAAGUGGUUGGCAUACAAGUAACUGGCAUACAAAAGACGCCAAGAUGAGGAGAAAAGGGGGGUGGGUGAAGAACAGAAAAGUUUUUGUUGUUGUUGUUGUUGUUGUUUUGGGGGCCACACUAGCAGCACGUGGAGGUUCCCAGGCUACGGGUCUAAUUGGAGCUACAGCUGCCAGCCCGCACCACAGCCACAGCAACGUGGGAUCCGAGCUGUGUUUGCGACCUACACCACAGCUC